CAAUGGUUAUUUUCAACAAAUCAUAAAGAUAUUGGAACCUUAUACUUUAUUUUUGGUAUUUGAUCCGGAAUAGUUGGAACUUCACUAAGAGUUUUAAUUCGUACUGAACUUAGACAUCCCGGCAUAUUUAUUGGGAAUGAUCAAAUUUAUAAUGUAAUUGUUACUGCUCAUGCUUUUAUUAUAAUUUUUUUUAUAGUAAUACCUAUCAUAAUUGGAGGAUUUGGAAACUGACUAGUACCCUUAAUACUAGGAGCCCCUGAUAUAGCUUUCCCUCGAAUAAAUAAUAUAAGUUUUUGAAUAUUACCCCCCUCUUUAACACUGCUGCUUUCUAGUUCUAUAGUAGAAAACGGAGCUGGAACAGGGUGAACGGUUUAUCCUCCUCUUUCUUCUGGAACAGCUCAUGCUGGAGCUUCAGUUGAUUUAGCAAUUUUUUCUUUACAUUUAGCAGGAAUCUCAUCUAUUUUAGGAGCAGUAAAUUUUAUUACAACUGUAAUUAAUAUACGAUCAGCUGGUAUUACUCUUGAUCGUCUACCUUUAUUUGUAUGAUCAGUAGUAAUUACAGCUAUUUUAUUACUUCUUUCCCUACCCGUAUUAGCCGGAGCUAUUACUAUAUUAUUAACAGAUCGAAAUUUAAAUACAUCUUUUUUUGAUCCAAUUGGAGGGGGAGAUCCUAUUUUAUAUCAACAUUUAUUUUGAUUUUUUGGUCAUCCAGAAGUUUAUAUUUUAAUUCUACCAGGAUUUGGAAUAAUUUCUCAUAUUAUUACACAAGAAAGAGGAAAAAAGGAAACUUUUGGUACUUUAGGAAUAAUUUAUGCUAUAUUAACAAUUGGCUUAUUAGGAUUUAUUGUAUGAUAUUUACAGUUGGUAUAGAUGUUGAUACUCGAGCUUAUUUCACAUCUGCAACUAUAAUUAUUGCGGUACCUACAGGAAUUAAAAUUUUUAGUUGAUUAGCUACUCUUCAUGGGACACAAUUAACAUAUAGUCCUGCACUUUUAUGAUCUUUAGGAUUUGUUUUUUUAUUUACAGUUGGAGGAUUAACCGGAGUAAUUUUAGCUAAUUCAUCAAUUGAUAUUGUACUUCACGAUACAUAUUAUGUAGUAGCCCAUUUUCAUUAUGUAUUAUCUAUAGGAGCAGUAUUUGCUAUUAUAGCAGGAUUUAUUCAUUGAUACCCAUUAUUAACAGGAAUAAUUAUAAAUCCUUCAUGAUUAAAAGCUCAAUUUACAAUAAUAUUUAUCGGAGUUAAUUUAACUUUUUUUCCCCAACAUUUUUUAGGAUUAGCGGGAAUACCUCGACGUUACUCUGAUUUUCCAGAUAGUUAUUUAACUUGAAAUAUUAUUUCUUCUUUAGGAAGAAUAAUUUCUUUAUUUGCUAUUAUUUUCUUUUUAUUUAUUAUCUGAGAAAGAAUAAUUACACAACGAACUCCUUCUUUCCCCAUACAAUUAUCUUCAUCUAUUGAAUGAUAUCAUACUUUACCUCCUGCAGAACAUACUUAUUCAGAAUUACCUCUUCUUUCUUCUAAUUUCUAAUAUGGCAGAUUAGUGCAAUGAAUUUAAGCUUCAUAUAUAAAGAUUAUUAUCUUUUAUUAGAAAAUGGCAACAUGAAUAAAUCUAGGACUUCAAAAUAGUACUUCUCCUUUAAUAGAACAAUUAAAUUUUUUUCAUGAUCAUACUUUAUUAAUUUUAAUUAUAAUUACUAUUAUAAUUGCAUAUAUUAUGUUUAUAUUAUUUUUUAAUAAAUUUACAAAUCGAUAUUUACUUCACGGACAAACAAUUGAAAUUAUUUGAACUAUUCUUCCUGCAAUUAUUUUAAUAUUUAUUGCCUUUCCUUCUUUACGACUUUUAUACUUAAUAGAUGAAAUUAAUUCUCCUUUAAUUACUUUAAAAGUUAUUGGCCAUCAAUGAUAUUGAAGUUAUGAAUAUUCUAAUUUUUUAAAUUUAGAAUUUGAUUCUUACAUAAUCCCAACUAAUGAAUUAGAUAUUAAUGGAUUUCGUUUAUUAGAUGUUGAUAAUCGAGUUAUUCUUCCAAUAAAUAACCAAAUUCGUAUUUUAGUAACUGCUACUGAUGUAAUUCAUUCUUGAACAGUUCCUUCUAUAGGAAUAAAAAUUGAUGCUACUCCCGGACGUUUAAAUCAAACUAAUUUUUUAAUAAAUCAACCUGGAUUAUUUUAUGGACAAUGCUCAGAAAUUUGUGGAGCAAAUCAUAGUUUCAUACCAAUUGUUAUUGAGAGAAUCCCAAUAAAUUAUUUUAUUAAAUGAAUUUCUUCUCAAAUAAAUU